ensembl:lncRNA
AUGAAAGCAUUUCUUAAACCUUUCGUAGAUGAAUGCUGUGAUUUAGCUCAAAAUCCGUUCCACUGGAUGGACAGCAACGGCUCUGUUCACUCCUCAAAAGUCUUCGCCGUGAUUUGCUCCUCCGAUGCAGAGGCAAGGCCACUCCUUCGAAACUGCAAGAAAUUUAAUGGUGAACACGGUUGUGACUGGUGUUUACAUCCGGGUACAACAGUUGAAAAGGGUUCAGGAUCUAUGAGAUCCUACACAUAUGAUAAAGAAAAGCGAAGGGCACGAUCAGAUGAAAUGUUCAGACAUAAUGCAGAAACUGCAGACCACACAGGAGAGCCCAACAAUGGAGUAAAAGGACAUAGUUUGCUCUCUAAUAUUCCAAAGUUUGACAUGGUUUUUGGAUUUAUCCCAGAGUACAUGCACUCAGUUCUUCUUGGUGUGACCAGACAGCUGAUGUCUCUGUGGUUGGAUCCAAGUAAUUCUGCAAAGCCUUGGUUUGUAGGUGAACAGAUUUCAGAAAUGGACCGCCGUCUUCUUGGUCUAAAGCCACCAGUGGAAAUUUCCGAAUCUCCACGCUCCCUGAAGUGUAGGGACAGUUGGAAAGCAUCUGAGUGGCGAGCGUUCCUUUUGUUUUAUGUCAUACACGUCCUACCACGUUUCUUGUCGUGCAAGUUUCUUGAACAUUUUUUUCUCUUGUCAUUUAGUAUUCACAUUCUACUACAAGAAUCAAUAUCCCAAGAUGACCUUCAGUUGGCCCAUGACUACUUGGUGCACUUUGUUGUAAACAUGAAAGUACUUUAUGGUGAAGAAAACGUAUCCUUUAACUGUCAUCAGUUAAUCCACUUAUCUAAAAGUGUACUAAACUGGGGCCCUCUCUGGGCUACAUCAGCAUUCAGUUUUGAGAGAAACAACGGAGCUUUAUGGUCUCUGCUUAAAACCAAUAAUUACAACGCAAAACACGUUACUGAGAAGUUCCACACAUGGCAACACAUACCCAGACACAUUAGUUCUUUAGUUUAUAACCAUUGUUCAGAUUUUAGCAGUUUAUUAACCAAGAUGUCACCAGGGAAUGAUGGCAGCGGCUCUUUCAAACCCUUAGGAGAAGCACAUCUCCUGGAUCUAAAAGAAUCCAUAAAACUGAUGCUAGAAAGACUCUUUAAUCGACGAGUUUUUGCCAAAUCAGUGGAAACUUAUGAUAAAUUCACUUACAGCCACACUGUUUAUCACUCUACAAACUUUGAAAAGUCUGACAAAACAGACUGUGUUAUUGAACUUAAAAAUGGGUCCUAUGGAGAAAUGCACAUGUUGUUGUUUUUGAAAGAGAACUGUAUGUGCACAUCCAGCUGUGUGUGCCAGGUCAUUCCAGUCAUUGUGGUAAACAUGUAUGUCACCAAACCUGUGGAACUGUUUGGACAAACUGUUCCCUGUAGACCAUCGAAGACUGUGUUUGUGACAGCUGAGAGCACAGGACAGCUCAAAGCUUUCUUCUUAGAGAACAUCAGAUGCAAACGUAUGUAUGUAAAUGGCUUGCUUGUGCCUGUACCAAACACACAUGAGAGAUAUUAG